GACAGAGGAUGCAAGCGUUGUUCGGAUUCAUUGGGCGUAAAGGGUGCGUAGGUGGCGAGGUUAGUCAGGUGUGAAAUCUCGGGGCUCAACCCCGAAACUGCACUUGAUACUGCCUUGCUAGAGUACUGGAGAGGAGAUUGGAAUUUACGGUGUAGCAGUGAAAUGCGUAGAGAUCGGAAAGAACACCAACGGCGAAAGCACUCUGCUGGGCCGACACUGACACUGAGAGACGAAAGCUAGGGGAGCGAAUGGG
rnacentral:rRNA from 1 species